UACGUAGGGACCGAGCGUUGUCCGGAAUCAUUGGGCGUAAAGAGCGUGUAGGCGGCCACUUAAGUCCUGCGUGAAAUCUUGCGGCUCAACCGCAAGCGGUCGUGGGAAACUGGGUGGCUAGAAUGCGGGAGAGGAGAGUGGAAUUCCUGGUGUAGCGGUGGAAUGCGCAGAUAUCAGGAAGAACACCCGUGGCGAAGGCGGCUCUCUGGAACGCAACUGACGCUGAGACGCGAAAGCGUGGGGAGCAAACAGG
rnacentral:rRNA from 1 species